GCCAGCGUGGCAUAGUGGUUUGGGUGUUGGACUAUAACUCUGGAGACCAGAGUUUGAAUCUCUGCUUGGCC